ACCAAGCUUCAUCCUUGAUGCCGGUCUUUGCGAUGGACCGAUGCAUUUCAAAAGGGAGCUCUAGAUUGCCCGUGGAACGGGGAUUCGCGUCCGUUGAUGCGAAAGCCGGGAAGCGCGCUGCGAGCACCCACCUGACCAGGUGGGUUCAUCCUUUCGGCCAGGGAUGAGGCUUUUUU
rnacentral:other from 3 species